UACAGAGGGGGCAAGCGUUGUCCGGACUUACUGGGUGUAAAGCGCAUGCAGGUGGCUGUGCAAGUAUGCUGUGAAAGCCCCGUGCUUAACACGGGGAGGCCAGUAUAGACUGCACGGCUCGAGGACUGCAGAGGGUAGGGGAAUUGCUGGUGUAGUGGUGAAAUGCGUAGAGAUCCGGAGGAACACCAGCGGCGAAGGCGGCAUCCUGGACUGGUCCUGACACUCAUGAGCGAAAGCGUGGGGAGCGAUCCGG
rnacentral:rRNA from 1 species